AUUGAACGCUGGCGGCAGGCCUAACACAUGCAAGUCGAACGAGUGGCGGACGGGUGAGUAAUGUCUGGGAAACUGCCCGAUGGAGGGGGAUAACUACUGGAAACGGUAGCUAAUACCGCAUACCAUCGGAUGUGCCCAGAUGGGAUUAGCUUUUAGGUGAGGUAACGGCUCACCUAGGCGACGAUCCCUAGCUGGUCUGAGAGGAUGACUGACCAAACUGGAACUGAGACACGGGCGAGACACCUACGGGAUGCAGCAGUUGUGAAUAUUGCACAAUGGGCGGAAGCCUGAGGCACCCAUGACGGGUGUAUGAAGAAGGCCUUCGGGUUGUAAAGUACUUUCAGCGGGGAGGCGGUACCCGCAGAAGAAGCACCGGCUAACUCCGUGCCAGCAGCCGCGGUAAUAC
rnacentral:rRNA from 1 species